rnacentral:SRP_RNA from 1 species
GUCAUCACUUACACGAGUCCCAGCUACCCGGGAGGCUGAGGCAGGAGGAUCGCUUGAGUCCAGGAGUUCUGGGCUGUAGUGCGCUAUGCCGACCGGGUGUCCGCACUAAGUUCAGCAUCAAUAUGGUGACCUCCUGGGAGCAGGGGACCACCAGGUUGACUAAGGAGGGGUGAACAGGCCCAGAUCGGAAAUGGAGCAGGUCAAAACUCAUGCUGAGCAGGAUUACCAUGGCAACAACACAUCUAAUGUCCAGCCAUUGUUGGCCUGGGCAUUAUGGCAUGCAGUAUCCU